UGAAGAAAGAAGGAGAGCUAUUCUUAAUCGGCAAGUGUGUUUGGAGAAAUCAAUAGUCUGAGAUAAAGGAGACAGCACGCUGUUGCAGAAGAAUCGUGGUCGAUGCCGUCAAAUAAAUGAGAGAACGAUCCCAAUUGCAGUUUAUCUGUGGUUCAUCUGGCUUCAUCUCACACCACCUCUGUUGACAUGGGAGGGCUGCCGGCCCACAUCCGGGAAGUGUUAUGAAACCACCGGGGUUCCUCCCCUCCUUGCUCCAGGGAAGCCUGAGAGGGACCCUGCAGAUUGCAUUUGGAAUCCAUCUGCCAGGUGAACUAGACCCUUGGAGCCUCAGUUUCCUCCUCUCUGAAACAGGAACAGACACGCUUCCCUUGCCUGACUCCUGGAGUCACUGUGGGAAUAAAGUCAGAGCACCAGCUGCAUCAUCAUGUGACACAUCAAAACACGGAGGCCACUGUUCUUACUCAAGUCGUGGAAAUGUAACUUAUUUCCCACGCGAUGGGGAACAAAUAUUAAAAGAAAGAAGAUUCUUCUGUGUUGCCUGCUAUUGUUUUCUUGUGAUCUGGCAGCUCAGUAACUGGAAUGAGAGCCCCAGGGUGAAGAAAAGCUACCAAGCUACCCAGUA